UACGUAGGUGGCAAGCGUUGUCCGGAUUUACUGGGCGUAAAGGGCGUGCAGGCGGUCUGUUAAGUGCAGGGUGAAAGCUCCCGGCUCAACUGGGAGAGGUCCUUGCAUACUGGCGGACUUGAGGGGGGUAGAGGAAAGUGGAAUUCCCGGUGUAGUGGUGAUAUGCGUAGAUAUCGGGAGGAACACCUGUGGCGGAAGGCGGCUCUCUGGGACGGUACUGGACGCUGAGACGCGAAAGCGUGGGGAGCGACGAGGA
rnacentral:rRNA from 1 species